GACCUAGUGGUGUAAUGCAACACCCCUGCUUCUCAUAACGUGUCACAAGGCGUCUCGAACUUAAAGCAGGAGCUCCCGGUUCGAAUCCGGGUUAGGUCA